UCAAUCCUUGUCUUGGGGAGCAAAAUGUCCAAUGAACGUAUAGUGAGGACAUUGUUGCUGACACCCAUUAUUAUAAACCCCUGCCUGAGGCUUCGCAGAAGCCUUGAGCGGAAUUUUUGUAGGG